GAGCUGAUUUCUGAGGACCUAAGAUUGCAUCUACCUUGACAUCUUUCAGCAAAUUCAGACCUGCAACAAGGCAAACAAUGUUGCAGCAGCAGCUUCAAUGGCUUGUUCUUGAGAGUCCCUAACGUGAAGAGACAACCUCGUCGAGUAGUUGCUGUGAAUCGAAUAGAAAUCAGAGAGGGCAAUGGACAUGCAGCUUAGACCCAUGCUUCCGACCACUGACUUCAAAUCAAGAAUCACUCCCACUUGGAAGUUAGAAGUGCGAUUAUGGAAGCUCCUUUGUGAAUUGCUGAAAGUGGAACACAACCAGAGUGAGGCACAGAAUAGUAGGAUCAGUUUCAUCUCCUUCCAAUACCUGAAUUGGUAGGUCGCGACGUUUCAAUCUACUCCAUAUAAUAUCACAAAUUAUCAAUCUUCUGUCUUCGUUAUUUAGGCGGGUGGUUGUGUUAGUUGACUUGGUAAAAGUCCAUGCUUGCUUUCAAUAAUCUAAUGUGAAGAUACCUUACAGUUGA